rnacentral:rRNA from 1 species
AACGAACGCUGGCGGCGGGUCUUAACCAUGCAAGUCGAGCGGCAGCCUGCAAUUCCGAGAGCGGCGGACUGGUGAGUAACACGUGGAUAACGUACCCCGCGGUCUGGGACAGCCUGAAGAAAUAGAAGGUAGUACCGGAUAGAUCACUGUUUACGUUAGGGAGACAGCGGGAACGGAGCUUCGGCUACGCGACUGGAUCGGUCUGCGGCCCAUCAGCUGGACGGCGGGGGAAAGGCCGGACGUGGCGAGGACGGGAAUCCGGCCUGAGAGGGCGGACGGACACAUUGGGACUGAGAUACGGCACAGACUCCUACAGGAGGCAGCAGCUAAGAAUAUUACGCGAUGGGGGGAAGCGUGAUGGAGCGAAGCCGCGUGAACGAAGAAGGCCGCAAGGUUGGAGAGUUCUUUUCUGUCCGGGGAAUAAGUUUCGGAGGAAAUGCCGAGACGGUGACGGUAGCGCAAGAAUAAGCCCCGGCUAAUUACGUG